rnacentral:rRNA from 1 species
GAUGAACGCUGGCGGCGUGCCUAAUACAUGCAAGUCGAGCGAACAGAUGAGGAGCUUGCUCCUCUGACGUUAGCGGCGGACGGGUGAGUAACACGUGGAUAACCUACCUAUAAGACUGGGAUAACUUCGGGAAACCGGAGCUAAUACCGGAUAAUAUAUUGAACCGCAUGGUUCAAUAGUGAAAGACGGUUUUGCUGUCACUUAUAGAUGGAUCCGCGCCGCAUUAGCUAGUUGGUAAGGUAACGGCUUACCAAGGCGACGAUGCGUAGCCGACCUGAGAGGGGGUUCGCCCAACCGGAACUGGAGAACCGUCCAGACUCCUUCGGGGAGGCACCGGUGGGAAACUUUCGGAAUGGGGGGAAACCUGGCGGAGCCACGGCGCGUGGGUUAAGAAGGUUCUCCGAUCGUAAAAACCUGUUUAUAGGGGAAAACCAAUGUGGAAGGAAACAAUGACCGCUUGACGGUACCUAAACAAGAAGCCACGGCUAACUACGUG